AUAUCUAUAAGCGGAGGAAAAGAAACUAACAAGGAUUCCCCUAGUAACUGCGAGUGAAGAGGGAAAAGCUCAAUUUAAAAUCUGGCAGUCUUUGAUUGUCCGAGUUGUAAUUUAGAGAAGUGUUACCCGUGUUGGACCGUGUACAAGUUUCCUGGAAUGGAACGUCAUAGAGGGUGAGAAUCCCGUCUUUGACACGGAUCCCAAUGCAUUGUGGUAUACUUUCGAAGAGUCGAGUUGUUUGGGAAUGCAGCUCUAAAUGGGUGGUAAAUUCCAUCUAAAGCUAAAUAUUGGGGAGAGACCGAUAGCGAACAAGUACCGUGAGGGAAAGAUGAAAAGAACUUUGGAAAGAGAGUUAAACAGUACGUGAAAUUGCUAAAAGGGAAACGCUUGAAGUCAGUCGCGUUGUUCAGGGAUCAGCCUUCCUUUUGGUUGGUGUACUUCCUGUUUAACGGGUCAGCAUCAGUUUUGAUCAAUGGAUAAAAGUGAGAGGAAUGUGGCAUCUUCGGGUGUGUUAUAGCCUUUUAUUGUAUACAUUGGUUGGGACUGAGGAACUCAGCACGCCGCAAGGCCGGGUUUUUAACCACGUUCGUGCUUAGGAUGCUGGCA
rnacentral:rRNA from 1 species